rnacentral:rRNA from 1 species
UCAUUCAGAUCGUUCUGUGACCUGCGGAGGAUCAUUAUCGUAUAACGGAGGCGCGAGGGCUGUCGCUGACCUUUGAAGGUCGUGCACGCCCUUGCGCUCUCUCACACAUCCAUCUCACCCCUUUGUGCAUCACCGCGUGGGUCCCCCUUACAGGAGGGCUCGCGUUUUCACAUAAAACUUCAAUACAGUAUAUAAUGAUUUUCUUUUCAUUUGCGGUCACACGCAAUCAAUACAACUUUCAACAACGGAUCUCUUGGCUCUCGCAUCGAUGAAGAACGCAGCGAAAUGCGAUACGUAAUGUGAAUUGCAGAAUUCAGUGAAUCAUCGAAUCUUUGAACGCACCUUGCGCCCCUUGGCAUUCCGAGGGGCACACCCGUUUGAGUGUCGUGAAAUCAUCAAAACCCUUCUUCUUUGGAGAAGGAUUUUGGACUUGGAGGAUUUAUGCUCGCUUUCAGCAUUGAAAGUGGGCUCCUCUCAAAUGAAUUAGUGGGGUUUGCUUUGUCGAUCCUUGACGUGAUAAGAUGUUUUUACGUUUUUGAUUUGGCAUCGUGCUCGCUUCCAACCGUCCUCGUGGACGACGAUGGUGCUUUGGUCACCGCCAUGCGCGGGAGGCUGGACCCACAAUAAACCUUGACCUCAAAUCGGGUGAGACUACCCGCUGAACUUAAGCAUAUCAAUAAGCGGAGGAAAAGAAACUAACAAGGAUUCCCCUAGUAACUGCGAGUGAAGCGGGAAAAGCUCAAAUUUAAAAUCUGGUGGUCUUUGGCCAUCCGAGUUGUAAUUUAGAGAAGCGUCUUCCGCGCUGGACCGUGCACAAGUCUCCUGGAAUGGAGCGUCAUACAGGGUGAGAAUCCCGUCUUUGGCACGGACACGCCAGGCUUUUGUGAUGCGCUCUCGAAGAGUCGAGUUGUUUGGGAAUGCAGCUCAAAUGGGUGGUGAACUCCAUCUAAAGCUAAAUAUUGGCGAGAGACCGAUAGCGACAAGUACCGUGAGGAAAGAUGAAAGCACUUUGGAAGAGAGUGAUCAGUACGUGAAAUUGUGAAAGGAACGCUGAGUCAGUCCGUCGACGAUACUCAGCUCGCUGCCUGAUGUACUUCUCGUCGACGGUCACAUCAAUUUGCCCCUGAUAUGCCAGUA